rnacentral:rRNA from 1 species
GAUGAACGCUGCCAGACGGCUUAACACAUCAGCCAUUGAUUGGUGGCGGACGGGUGAGUAAAGCGUAAAGAACUUACUUCACAGUUAGGGACAACAUUUGGAAACGAAUGCUAAUACCUCAUACUGUGAGAGAGCUUUGCGUCCCCUUAGCUAUUUGGAGAGGUAACGGCUCACCAAGGCGAUGAUGGGUAGCCGGCCUGAGAUGGUGAUCGGCCACAAGGGGACUGAGACACGGGCCGUAAUCCGACGGGAGGCAGGAGUGGGGAAGAUUGGACAAUGGACCAAAGUCUGAUCCAGACAUUCUGUGUGUACGAUGAAGCAUUCGGAAGGUAAAGUGCUAUCAGUUGGGAAGCGGUACCAACAGAAGAAGUGACGGCUAAAUCCGUGCCAGCCGCCGCGGUAAUUC